UUCCGACGGGUUCCCAUUUCCAGCCAUGGAGACUGGAGAGUGAUUGCUCUCCCAAGUCUCAUGUAGAUGUAGGCCUAGGGUCCGUUGGAGAAAUCUUCACAAAUUACAAGAUUCUCCGCCAUACAAUUCCUCGAGCUCUUUCUCUUCCACAUUUGAUUCAUAUCAUACUAGAUCUUCUGCAGCCAAAGUCUAGGUUUGCUGCUGCCAAAUCAAAGUGCCUACUUAUUAGGUUAAAGUUUGCUGCUUCAGCUAGGAUUUGUUCUCUGAAGAGGCUUCAUUGUAUUGGAAAAGCUAAGCUUGGGGGUGGUUGUCAUGAUCACAAUGUCAUGUUAGCAUUAUGUAGUUGAGGAUGCAACUGGUGUGACAUCUAUUGCAUCCUUAAAUGUUAUUUCAGGGAGGAAGAAGGUGGAGUUUUUAGAACUGCAAGACCUUGUUAAGAGGAUGAGCAGGAGCUGGAAGUAGGAAGCAGUACACGCUGAAUAUUCUAGUGAAGUACAAAAGAUGUAUCCCCAAAGAGAUGACUAUUUUGACAACGCAGGAGAUGCCCAGGAAAAGAAGUUAAAAUACAAGCUUUGCGGCUCUGCAUCUACGAGUUAAUUAAAAAUUCUCAGCUCAUUUCAAGAUUCCUCUGAGGUGGUCAUAUAACUGAUGCAAUGCAAUCUGAACCGAGUCAUUUACUUUUUGAAGUAUAUUUAUGGCUCUUCCUUUAGUUACAUCCAAAUUCCGAUUAUUUCCUCCGACUUCUGGAGGGUGCAACUUUUGUUGUUUUGGAGGCCCUUCUACUGGAGUAAUUAUUUCAAUGCAGUUGACUUUCAGUGUUAGCACCGAAAUCUAGAAGUAUCAAGUUUGAUCAUGCAACCAACCUUAUUCCAGAACUAUCUUUCAAAGUAUCUCCAGAGAGCUUUGUAGAUUCAGACUCGGUAAUAUCAUUUUAACAGCUGUCUGAUAUGCUGAUCAAUCAAUAAAUCAGCAUCAGAUGUUCAAAGAAUCGGAAUGCUGAGUUUUGGUCAAUGACAUUGAUUUGUCGCAAAUUAUUAGAGGGGAUAUACGAAAGCAACCAUGCCAGACAAUUAGUUCUCGGGGUGGUUGAUUUGCUACUUGCAGGCAUUUUUUAUUUCUUAUUUACCUCUUCUCGGAUAUAAUAGUUCUGUUGCACCCAUUUAAAUUUCAUGGUAUUCUUCUGAAAUUAGAAUCGGAGAAUGAAUAAUUUUGGCAUUAAGUAGAUGUCACAUCUUUUAUAUAGCUAUAUCGAAGUAAGCACCGACUUGGCAGCUUGUGUAGUAGUUGGAGUGAUAAACAACCCCAUCAGCUGCCCUAGUUGGUGGGAAGUGGGAACAGGAAGAAUGAAUAACUCGAUUUAUGUUAUCAUUCUUAAUUGGCAUCUGAAGGGAAGAACACAGAGGAAAUUUCUUUCGUAAUUUAUAUAUUAGAAAUAAAUUUUAAUUU